rnacentral:rRNA from 1 species
AUUGAACGCUGGCGGCAUGCUCUACACAUGCAAGUCGAACGGCAGCACGGGCUUCGGCCUGGUGGCGAGUGGCGAACGGGUGAGUAAUGCAUCGGAACGUGCCGUGUAGUGGGGGAUAACGUAGCGAAAGUUACGCUAAUACCGCAUACGCCCUGAGGGGGAAAGUGGGGGACCGCAAGGUCUCACGCUAUACGAGCGGCCGAUGUCGGAUUAGCUAGUUGGUAGGGUAAAGGCCUACCAAGGCGACGAUCCGUAGCGGGUCUGAGAGGAUGAUCCGCCACACUGGGACUGAGACACGGCCCAGACUCCUACGGGAGGCAGCAGUGGGGAAUUUUGGACAAUGGGCGCAAGCCUGAUCCAGCCAUGCCGCGUGAGUGAAGAAGGCCUUCGGGUUGUAAAGCUCUUUCAGACGGAAAGAAAUCGGUGAGGUUAAUACCUUCACUGGAUGACGGUACCGUAAGAAGAAGCACCGGCUAACUACGUGCCAGCAGCCGCCGUAACAC